GGCAUGCUUUACACAUGCAAGUCGAACGGUAACAGGUCUUCGGAUGCUGACGAGUGGCGAACGGGUGAGUAAUACAUCGGAACGUGCCUAGUAGUGGGGGAUAACUACUCGAAAGAGUAGCUAAUACCGCAUGAGAUCUACGGAUGAAAGCAGGGGACCUUCGGGCCUUGUGCUACUAGAGCGGCUGAUGGCAGAUUAGGUAGUUGGUGGGGUAAAGGCUUACCAAGCCUGCGAUCUGUAGCUGGUCUGAGAGGACGACCAGCCACACUGGGACUGAGACACGGCCCAGACUCCUACGGGAGGCAGCAGUGGGGAAUUUUGGACAAUGGGCGAAAGCCUGAUCCAGCAAUGCCGCGUGCAGGAUGAAGGCCCUCGGGUUGUAAACUGCUUUUGUACGGAACGAAAAGCCUGGGGCUAAUAUCCCCGGGUCAUGACGGUACCGUAAGAAUAAGCACCGGCUAACUACGUGCCAGCAGCCGCGGUAAUACGUAGGGUGCAAGCGUUAAUCGGAAUUACUGGGCGUAAAGCGUGCGCAGGCGGUUUUGUAAGACAGUGGUGAAAUC
rnacentral:rRNA from 1 species